rnacentral:rRNA from 1 species
UGCAAGUCGAACGCUUCUUUUUCCACCGGAGCUUGCUCCACCGGAAAAAGAGGAGUGGCGAACGGGUGAGUAACACGUGGGUAACCUGCCCAUCAGAAGGGGAUAACACUUGGAAACAGGUGCUAAUACCGUAUAACAAUCAAAACCGCAUGGUUUUGAUUUGAAAGGCGCUUUCGGGUGUCGCUGAUGGAUGGACCCGCGGUGCAUUAGCUAGUUGGUGAGGUAACGGCUCACCAAGGCCACGAUGCAUAGCCGACCUGAGAGGGUGAUCGGCCACAUUGGGACUGAGACACGGCCCAAACUCCUACGGGAGGCAGCAGUAGGGAAUCUUCGGCAAUGGACGAAAGUCUGACCGAGCAACGCCGCGUGAGUGAAGAAGGUUUUCGGAUCGUAAAACUCUGUUGUUAGAGAAGAACAAGGAUGAGAGUAACUGUUCAUCCCUUGACGGUAUCUAACCAGAAAGCCACGGCUAACUACGUGCCAGCAGCCGCGGUAAUACGUAGGUGGCAAGCGUUGUCCGGAUUUAUUGGGCGUAAAGCGAGCGCAGGCGGUUUCUUAAGUCUGAUGUGAAAGCCCCCGGCUCAACCGGGGAGGGUCAUUGGAAACUGGGAGACUUGAGUGCAGAAGAGGAGAGUGGAAUUCCAUGUGUAGCGGUGAAAUGCGUAGAUAUAUGGAGGAACACCAGUGGCGAAGGCGGCUCUCUGGUCUGUAACUGACGCUGAGGCUCGAAAGCGUGGGGAGCAAACAGGAUUAGAUACCCUGGUAGUCCACGCCGUAAACGAUGAGUGCUAAGUGUUGGAGGGUUUCCGCCCUUUCAGUGCUGCAGCUAACGCAUUAAGCACUCCGCCUGGGGAGUACGACCGCAAGGU